GACGAACGCUGGCGGCGUGCUUAACACAUGCAAGUCGAACGGAAAGGCCCUGCUUUUGUGGGGUGCUCGAGUGGCGAACGGGUGAGUAACACGUGAGUAACCUGCCCUUGACUUUGGGAUAACUUCAGGAAACUGGGGCUAAUACCGGAUAGGAGCUCCUGCUGCAUGGUGGGGGUUGGAAAGUUUCGGCGGUUGGGGAUGGACUCGCGGCUUAUCAGCUUGUUGGUGGGGUAGUGGCUUACCAAGGCUUUGACGGGUAGCCGGCCUGAGAGGGUGACCGGCCACAUUGGGACUGAGAUACGGCCCAGACUCCUACGGGAGGCAGCAGUGGGGAAUAUUGCACAAUGGGCGGAAGCCUGAUGCAGCAACGCCGCGUGCGGGAUGACGGCCUUCGGGUUGUAAACCGCUUUCGCCUGUGACGAAGCGUGAGUGACGGUAAUGGGUAAAGAAGCACCGGCUAACUACGUGCCAGCAGCCGCGGUGAUACGUAGGGCGCGAGCGUUGUCCGGAUUUAUUGGGCGUAAAGGGCUCGUAGGUGGUUGAUCGCGUCGGAAGUGUAAUCUUGGGGCUUAACCCUGAGCGUGCUUUCGAUACGGGUUGACUUGAGGAAGGUAGGGGAGAAUGGAAUUCCUGGUGGAGCGGUGGAAUGCGCAGAUAUCAGGAGGAACACCAGUGGCGAAGGCGGUUCUCUGGGCCUUUCCUGACGCUGAGGAGCGAAAGCGUGGGGAGCGAACAGGCUUAGAUACCCUGGUAGUCCACGCUGUAAACGGUGGGUACUAGGUGUGGGGUCCAUUCCACGGGUUCCGUGCCGUAGCUAACGCUUUAAGUACCCCGCCUGGGGAGUACGGCCGCAAGGCUAAAACUCAAAGGAAUCGACGGGGCCCCGCACAAGCGGCGGAGCAUGCGGAUUAAUUCGAUGCAACGCGUAGAACCUUACCUGGGUUUGACAUGGAUCGGGAGUGCUCAGAGAUGGGUGUGCCUCUUUUGGGGUCGGUUCACAGGUGGUGCAUGGCUGUCGUCAGCUCGUGUCGUGAGAUGUUGGGUUAAGUCCCGCAACGAGCGCAACCCUUGUUCACUGUUGCCAGCACGUUAUGGUGGGGACUCAGUGGAGACCGCCGGGGUCAACUCGGAGGAAGGUGGGGAUGACGUCAAGUCAUCAUGCCCCUUAUGUCCAGGGCUUCACGCAUGCUACAAUGGCUGGUACAGAGAGUGGCGAGCCUGUGAGGGUGAGCGAAUCUCGGAAAGCCGGUCUCAGUUCGGAUUGGGGUCUGCAACUCGACCUCAUGAAGUCGGAGUCGCUAGUAAUCGCAGAUCAGCAACGCUGCGGUGAAUACGUUCCCGGGGCU
rnacentral:rRNA from 1 species